GGAAGGAUCAUUACUUGAUUCUCUUUUUUUAGAGAGUAUAUCCAUGUGCACUGUUUCUAUUUUAGAAGCCUUUGUAUUCGUAAGAAUGUCGUAAGAAUAAAGUUUAUAAAUAAAAACUUUCAACAACGGAUCUCUUGGCUCUCGCAUCGAUGAAGAACGCAGCGAAAUGCGAAAAGUAAUGUGAAUUGCAGAAUUCAGUGAAUCAUCGAAUCUUUGAACGCACAUUGCACUCUUUGGUAUUCCGAAGAGUAUGUCUGUUUCAGUAUCAUUUUAGAUCUCAUCUUCUUUAGAGUUGGCUUUCGAGUUGGCUCUAGAGAGUUGGACUUGACCUUAUUUUUUCGCUCAACUGAAAAAGUUGUUGAAAAAAAGGGUCGAAAGGUAGUAAAAGUAGCCGCGUACUCCUUGUCCAUUACGGACAUUGUUCGCAUUUUACUUUUGAGGCAUUGUUUCUUGUCUGAGAAAACGUCUGUGGACGCUUUUCUCGCAGGAACGCCCCUAAAGGUUGUCGACGCGAAUUUCUUGUAACGGCGCCCCUAAAGCACCAGUACAAAAAAUUCGCGUAAACGCCCCAAAAUAAGUGAUCUGAAAUCAGACAAGACUACCCGCUGAACUUAAGCAUAUCAAUAAGCGGAGGAAAAGAAACUAACAAGGAUUCCCCUAGUAACGGCGAGUGAAGCGGGAAAAGCUCAUAUUUGAAACCUGUGCGGUUCGCCGCUUAGGAUUGUAGAGUGCAGAAGCGUUUUCCGUAGAAGCUUGGGUAUAACUCCUUUGGAACAGGGGAUCAUAGAGGGUGAGAAUCCCGUCUUUGACCCGAGUCCUUCUACUCUGUGCUACGCUUUCAAAGAGUCGGGUUGUUUGGGAAUGCAGCCCAAAAUGGGUGGUAAGUUUCAUCUAAAGCUGAAUAUUGGCGAGAGACCGAUAGCGAACAAGUACCGUGAGGGAAAGAUGAAAAGAACUUUGAAAAGAGAGUUAAACAGUACGUGAAAUUGUUGAAAGGGAAACGCUUGAAAUCAGAUUCGUGAUUGUAAAAUCAGCUGUUCGUUUUAUAAAGGGAGGCUAGUGUGAGCGCAAGCCGCACUGGUCUUUUUUUCUAAAACGCACAGUGCACUUUUGCAGUCCCAAGUCAGCGCCGGUUUGAUUUAGUGGAAAAAAGCGUGAGGAAUGUAGGUCUUUUUAGACUGUUAUAGACUCGUGCAUAAUACACUGAAUUAGACCGAGGAAGGCUGUGCGCCGCAAGGCAAGGGAAGUGUGUGCUUGGUCCCUAGUAUUGCGAGACUGCUUGCAGACUCGUAGUACAAAAGGAUUGACCCAUUUACUUUCCCCAAAGUACAACGGGCGCUGACAAAAUGGUUUUAAACGACCCGUCUUGAAACACGGACCAAGGAGUCUAACAUGUAUGCAAGUAUUCGAGUAAUUAAACUCUCAUGCGAAAUUAACGUAAAAGGGUGCGGACAGCACCGACCGAUCCUGAGCCUCGCGCAAAGGAUUCGAGUAAGAGCAUAUCUGUUGGGACCCGAAAGAUGGUGAACUAUGCCUGAAUAGGGUGAAGCCAGAGGAAACUCUGGUGGAGGCUCGUAGCGAUUCUGACGUGCAAAUCGAUCGUCAAAUUUGGGUAUGGGGGCGAAAGACUAAUCGAACCAUCUAGUAGCUGGUUCCUGC
rnacentral:misc_RNA from 1 species